UUUCAGAAUGUUUGCAAGCGUAGACGCCAGGGCACUUGCGGGUGGCAGAGGUCACGACCCUGAACUGAAAACAUCACAUCUCAUUGACUAAUGUUGCAUUGUUUGCAAUGACAAAGCAUGAAACGAUGAAGGAAAAAAAAAAAUCCUUGCCAGGCUGAAGAUGUCAGUCCUUUAUCGGGACUCUUCUUCUUCCAAGAUGUCAUCGUGUCCGUAAAGCCCACAUUUGGAAUAUUCCGCGCCCCAAAAUUGGCCAUUUUCGACCUGGUGCAUGCGCUGGCAAAGUUGGCGAGUGAGCCUUCACUUGAGCUGAUGAGCGUCUUUUGAUUGCUUGACUUGUUCUUUUGGAGAGAAAAAGUCGGCGAACGGAUGAGCCCCCAUCGCGUACGGCGGUGCUUCGUCACCUUUUCGAAACCGAGUACUACCUUAACACUUACUAUGCACAAUUUCAACCGUUUUCACUGCGCUUUGAUAUCGACAACAAGAAAAAAAAAAUUCAAAUCAAACGCAUCGCACACAAAAGUGACACAACAACCUAAAAUGUCGGAAACCGCCGUUCUCCAAGAGGACGCAUCGCAAUUCUGCUGGACUCGAUUUCAUGUCGCAAUUCGCUUAGGUCCCACUCGGGGGAGUUAGUGAGCCACUGCUGUACUUCUCUGCACCACACAUUCCUGUGUUUUGUUUGUUGAGUUUUAUUCCCAGCUGGUUAGUAAACCUCUCCAGGUCUCUGACUUGCAUGCUGAUCAAUUUCCAAACCGGGUGUUGGACAUGAUUGUCGUCAUGUUGUGGUUUGUGAAAUGCUUUGUCAUGGAUUGCCUUAACCUCAGAUUAAAAACAAAUGUUGACAACUUUU